rnacentral:rRNA from 1 species
UACGUAGGGCGCAAGCGUUGUCCGGAAUUAUUGGGCGUAAAGAGCUCGUAGGCGGUUUGUCGCGUCUGCUGUGAAAACUCGAGGCUCAACCUCGGGCUUGCAGUGGGUACGGGCAGACUAGAGGUGCGGUAGGGGAGACUGGAAUUCCUGGUGUAGCGGUGGAAUGCGCAGAUAUCAGGAGGAACACCGAUGGCGAAGGCAGGUCUCUGGGC